UCAACCUCGAUUAAGAGCAAUCGAGUGGAAACGCAGCGCGUGACGUUCUGUGAUUGUUUCAGAUUUUCUGCCACCUACAGCUGUUUAAUAAGGUUCUGGAGAGCUUCAGUAUGUUUGAGAUUAAACGGAGAUGAGUAAUGUCUGACUGUUGAACCUUUGCCCUUUAGCUUGAUGGAAAAACAAUAGAAUUUAAGCUAUUAGACAAAUGUCAAGCAAUUAAGGUUGAAUGAUGUGGCUGGACAGGAAUGCUUCACAUUAUGUGAAACAAAAUGCAACUAGCACAAUAAAAUAUCAACGAGGUGGAUCUACAGUCUGGCUAAACAUACAUUUUAUUUGGUGUUAAACAGGAUACAUUGAGAUGUGCAGGCAACUCAACCACGGAAAACAACAAAAAAAUCACUAAACAUAAUGAAGUGAGAAUAAAUCAGAAGAAUUCCUGCGGUCGGCUUCGCUGGCAGCCUCCCCGAAACUUAAUUAUGCUUAAUUGUUUAGAGGAAAGAACACGCAGAGGCAAUUAGGAACGAUAUGCACGGGCAGCUCCUCACAGGGGGAAUCACACGUGUGAUAUUUGCACACUCCAUGAUACUAUGUUAAACUAUACGUGUGCAGAUCAACGUAUACUCAGAGAACCACGCGCACAACAUAUUCUAUACUUUUCUCGUGACAAAUAUGUCUUUUCCAUAGUGUGAAUACAAGAGUCCCGUUUUUUUUUUUAUAAAAAGCAAAUAAAUAUCAUCAUAAACAUCAUCAAAUACCAACUCCUUUAUGUGUGUGUAGCUCUUCUGCAGAGCAUUAAAGGGAUAGUUUGUCAUUUUGGAAAAUGCACGUCGACAGUUUACGGAGGAGCGUUUGUUUUGUAAUGUAAACUACAAUGAACGAGAGCAAACGACUGCAAAUAUUGUGUUGUUUGUUUGUCAUGACGACCUUCAUGAGAUGAGAAGACCAAAACCAGGCUAGCUGUUAAGUCCAGUCUUUAUGCUAAGCUAAGCUAAGCUAAGCUAGGCUAGACAAUUUAGAUCAUUUAACUCUUCCAGAAGUUGUACAAGCGUAUUUCCCAAACUGCAUUUUAAAUGCCUAAUAAUAUUUUACUGAAAAAGUUGGUUACAUACAGUACACACGUUAAAAAAAGCAUAUACAUAUUAAACGACUCAUAGAAAGGUAGACAUGCCAACGAGUACGCACACACACACACACACGCACACACACACAUAUGCUGUAUAUAACAAGCACCACUGCAUAUGUAAGUACUGACACUCGAUCACACACACACACACACACACACACACACACACACACACACACACACACACACACACACACACACGUCCCAUGAAGAAUUGGUCACUGCUCAACCAGCCGAAGUACUUCAAGCGAAAGAAGUACUUACACUAUGUUAAUUACACCCAAAAGGGAUUUCACAAUAAAAGUCUAAACAGGUGAUUAAACUUACAAUUAAAACAAUAACAUGAAAAAAUAUGUGUAAUAGAGGAACAACAUUGUUUCCAUCUCUAUUUGGUUAAUAGUUGAAUCUGCUCUGCAAUUCAAUAUUGUGCAAAACUGUCUUUUUUUUUUUUUCUUCUGAAAAUGCAUUGAGAAUAAAAAGGCUUCUCGGAUCAAACUGCAACCCAGAGGAUUGAAAUGUUAGUGCCGCCCUCGUGCGCGAUCCGGUUAACUCGCCCGCGGACACAGUCCAGCGUGACGUAGACCGCCGUGCCGUUCUGCACCGGGAACGAGGCCCUCAGCCCGAUGCUGGCCCACUCGCUCCCUUCGGGCAUCGCUCCGGCCACCUGCUGAGCCACAGGACCCGCCUGCCCGCCCGGACCGCCCGCCCGCUGCAAGGUGACCUUCACAACGUUGCAGGAGUGUAUCAGCUUCAGGUUGAGCGCCACGUUCGCCGUCCCUCUCUCGUGGAAGACAAAGUUCCUCCGGCUGCUGGGCUCCCCGGAGCGGGCCAGGCCCACCUGCGGCGCGUCGGCGCCGACCUGCUGGAAGGACAGCGGCUUGUUCCUGACCGCCCCGGAGGGGAGGCCCGUCCGGGACACGGUGGCGCUCAGCGCCGACGACACCGCCGAGGGAACCCAGAUGAGGCUCAGCACGCUGAUCCCGCUGCUGUCCCCGAAGUAGCGGAUGUUGCACUGCGACGGAGACGUGAUCUCAAAGCUGAGCGUGUCGCCGCCGCCCACUCUCACGGCGCCGGAGAGGGUGAUGGACGUGUCCCGGUAGUUGACGCCCGCCUUGAACGCUUGCGUCGCCUCCUGGCCGGUCCCGUUGCGGCUGACGUAGGCGAUCAGGGAGAAACCCUCUCGUACGCAGGUGUGGCCCAUGGAGUAAAGCGCCUGUUGCAGGACGAACUUCACCACGCCGCUCUCCGUGAAGCGCACGCCGCGGUUGUCGUGCGUCAGAGCGACCAUGUAAGGGUCGGACACCGAGGUCACGCGGAAGGUCGGGCGGUAGCUGGUCUGGUAGUGCGUCAGCAGGGACAUGUGGGCCGUCAUGGCCACGGCGCCGGUGUCGUGCGACAGCCACAGCAGGCUGACGGACGGGGCGGCGAUGUCGUACAGGUGGAGGUCCUUGCUCUGGUUGCAGUGUUGAUUCGGGCUCCUCAGCAGCAGAGUGAAGAUGUGGUCGGGCUCCACCUCGACGCCGCUGCUGACGCUGACGCCCUGGAAGUGUUUCCCGUCCGGCUGUUCGAUGCGAACGCCGCUGAGGUCGCGACCCCCCUCCUCCUCCUGGCUCCCGUUGAGCCUCAUGCCCACCUGAAGGAAGUUCCUGCAGCUGUGCUUUAUGGCAAAGUUGUGAUCCAACCACACGAGGCCGUGCUGCAGGAACGUCACCUGCCCGGCCUCGUUGGACAGCAGGUCGAUUUUCUCUUUGCCCCGGAUGUUGAGCUGAAGCCCGGGGAAGAUGUGGCCCCCGGAGGACCUGGCGGGCGGUACUCCCACGCUGGCCCCCCACGACUGAGAGAGUCGGAUCUGCGAAGGCCGGCCGCAGACGGCGUCGGUGACGGCCGCGCAGGGAGCCGAGACGGGCUCUCCGUCGCAGUCGCUGCAGGCCUGACACUCCUGCAGCUCCUGGUUGUAGAAGUAGUCGGGACCACAGAAGCCCGUCGCUGCUUCUCGCUCAGAAACCCCCAGACACCUGAAC
ensembl:lncRNA